rnacentral:lncRNA from 1 species
UUAGAUCUUGUCAAGAAUAAAUGUAAGGAAAUAAAAAGAAAAAGACCUUGAAUGCGGAAAGACGAUGACGAAUCAAAAUAUCGAUGGAUGAGGAUUGCGGCGGCGAUGAUUGUGAAUACGGAUGACCGCAGCGAUCAGACGACGUCGCGCGCGCACGUACGGAACGGCUGGGGUCGUACGGUUGAGGUGAGGGGAGAGAGAUGGUCGAGUGAGGGAGAGAGGAGUCGUGUGGGAGAAAAGAAAAAGAAAAGGAUCGGGUGAGGAUUGGCUAGGGAAAAAAUUUAAUUUAGUUAGAUACUAAUAAAGUAACAAAAUGCCGCCGAGU